GACGAACGCUGGCGGCGUGCCUAAUACAUGCAAGUUGAGCGCUGAAGGUUGGUACUUGUACCAACUGGAUGAGCAGCGAACGGGUGAGUAACGCGUGGGGAAUCUGCCUUUGAGCGGGGGACAACAUUUGGAAGCAAAUGCUAAUACCGCAUAAAAACUUUAAACACAAGUUUUAAGUUUGAAAGAUGCAAUUGCAUCACUCAAAGAUGAUCCCGCGUUGUAUUAGCUAGUUGGUGAGGUAAAGGCUCACCAAGGCGAUGAUACAUAGCCGACCUGAGAGGGUGAUCGGCCACAUGGGGACUGAGACACGGCCCAAACUCCUACGGGAGGCAGCAGUAGGGAAUCUUCGGCAAUGGACGAAAGUCUGACCGAGCAACGCCGCGUGAGUGAAGAAGGUUUUCGGAUCGUAAAACUCUGUUGGUAGAGAAGAACGUUGGUGAGAGUGGAAAGCGCAUCAAGUGACGGUAACUACCCAGAAAGGGACGGCUAACUACGU
rnacentral:rRNA from 1 species